CCUUUCUGCAGUGUGGAGGAGCGCUGGGCAGGAGGCGGCGCCGAGUUUGGUGGCAGCAGUGGGAUCCAAAGGAGACAUCUGAUGGCUUAGGGGAUGAGAAACACAGGCAGUGGUACCUGCAAAACCUUUGAGUUCUCCAUCUUUGUCACUGAUUCUGAGAGCCGUGGAGUCAGCUCCAGAGUUUCAGCCAGCAGCAGAAGCAGAGCUGUGGGCAGU